GACGAACGCUGGCGGCGUGCCUAAUACAUGCAAGUAGAACGCACAGUUUAUACCGUAGCUUGCUACACCAUAAACUGUGAGUUGCGAACGGGUGAGUAACGCGUAGGUAACCUGCCUGGUAGCGUGGGAUAACUAUUGGAAACGAUAGCUAAUACCGCAUAAUAUUAAUUAUUGCAUGAUAAUUGAUUGAAAUUUGCAAUUGCAUCACUACCAGAUGGACCUGCGUUGUAUUAGCUAGUAGGUGAGGUUACGGCUCACCUAGGCGACGAUACAUAGCCGACCGGAGAGGGGGAGCGGCCAGACUGGGACUGAGACACGGCCCAGACGCCUACGGGAGGCAGCAGGAGGGAAUCUUCGGCAAUGGAUGAAAGUCUGACCGAGCAACGCCGCGUGAGUGAGGAAGGGUGUCGGAUCGGAAAUCACUGUUGUAAGAGAAGAAAGGGUGUGAGAGUGGAAAGUUCACACUGUGACGGUAUCUUAACAGAAAGCGACGGCUAACUACGUG
rnacentral:rRNA from 1 species